AUUGAACGCUGGCGGCGGGCCUAACACAUGCAAGUCGAACGAGUGGCGGACGGGUGAGUAAUGUAUGGGAAACUGCCCGAUGGAGGGGGAUAACAACGGGAAACGGUAGCAAAUACGGCAUACCAUCGGAUGUGCCCAGAUGGGAUUGGCUAGUAGGCGUGGUAACGGCUCACCUAGGCGACGAUCCCUAGCUGGACUGAGAGGAUGACCAGCCACACUGGAACUGAGACACGGUCCAGACUCCUACGGGAGGCAGCAGUGGGGAAUAUUGCACAAUGGGGGCAAGCCUGAUGCAGCCAUGCCGCGUGUAUGAAGAAGGCCUUCGGGUUGUAAAGUACUUUCAGCGAGGAGGCGUUACUCGCAGAAGAAGCACCGGCUAACUCCGUGCCAGCAGCCGCGGUAAUAC
rnacentral:rRNA from 1 species